CAACAUAACAGACAAUAGGCCCUGAAAGAAAUUGAAGUAUUUUACCCCCAAAUAUAUUUCUUUGACAUAUUUUGAAAUGGCCCUGCAAAGCUGCAUCUCGUGGGGAAAAUCUACAUUUUGUAGAGAAUCUCCUUCCCUUUCUGGGUCUUUCUCCUGAUCCAGGAGAGUCUGAUAAGAGACAUUUACAAUAGAUACCCUCUGAAGCCUGGAGGCUUCAUCUGCAGAAUAAGACCCUUGGUCUCCACAACACCUUAUCUUAACCCACACACUCCCUUCUACUGAUUUCAAGUCUUUAGAUAAACUUUCAACCAAUUGCCAGCCAGAAAAUAUUGGAAUCCACCUAUGACCUGGAAGCCUCCCCCCGACCACCACCACCUUGGGCACAUGUUCUCAGAAUCUUCUUGGGCUGUGUCACAGGCCAUGGUCACCCACAUUUGGCUCAGAACAAAUCUCUUCAAAUACUUUAAAGAGUUUGACUGUAUUUCAAUUUUAUUGCAUAUAUUAUAUUGCAUAUGAGUUUAACUCAUAUUUUAUUAUGAGUUGUUAAUCUCUUACCGUGCCUAAUGUAUAAACUUUAUCAUAUAUAUGUAUAGGGAAAAAAACACUGUAUAUAUAGGAUUUAGUACUCUCCAUGGUUUCAGUCAUCCACUGGAGAUCUCUGAACAUGUCCUUUGCAGAUAAGGGGGGAACUGCUGUGUACUUCCAUAUAAUGUGCUGCAUGUGAAGUGUAGCCAAAAUGGGAAAUCUGAAAAUGAAAGGGGAAAAUGAACACAAUUAAGGUUUUAUUUAUUUACUUUUAGAGAUGGGGUCUUGUUAUGUUGCCCAGGCUGGCCUCAAAUUCCUGGGCUCCAGCAAUCUUCCCACCUCAGCCUCCCAAGUAGCUGGGACUACUGGCAUGUGCCACCACGCCCAACUUGGGUUGUUUUAUUUUUUUUAAUUUAUUUAUUAUAAAUCAUGUUGGCUAUAAUUAAAAACAACACAUUAUAUACUUGAAAAUGACUAAGAGAUUUGAAGUGUUCUUGUUAACGACGUGUGUCUGCAGCUAUCUGGAGGAACUCGGGAGUGGCGACUUUGCAGCAAUCUUGGUCCUUUGUACUUCUGAAGGAAAGAACUCAAAUGAGAGACAGACAAGGGUUAAAGCACAAGGGAACGUUUAUUUUAAGCAAUAUGAGAGUUUAUUGGAGAAAGUAGGCUUGGAAGAGGGUCAAGCAGGAGAUCUGAAAAAUCAGGUG
rnacentral:lncRNA from 1 species